rnacentral:rRNA from 1 species
AACGAACGCUGGCGGCAUGCCUAACACAUGCAAGUCGAACGAGACCUUCGGGUCUAGUUGCGCACGGGUGCGUAACGCGUGGGAACCUGCCCUUAGGUUCGGAAUAACUCCCCGAAAGGGGUGCUAAUACCGGAUAAUGUCUUCGGACCAAAGAUUUAUCGCCUUUGGAGGGGCCCGCGUUGGAUUAGCUAGUUGGUAGGGUAAAAGCCUACCACGGCGACGAUCCAUAGCUGGUCUGAGAGGAUGAUCAGCCACACUGGGACUGAGACACGGCCCAGACUCCUACGCGAGGCAGCAGAGGGUAAUAUUGGACAAUGGGCGAAAGCCUGAUCCAGCAAUGCCGCGUGAGUGAUGAAGGCCUUAGGGUUGUAAAGCUCUUUUACCCGGGAUGAUAAUGACAGUACCGGGAGAAUAAGCUCCGGCUAACUCCGUG